ACCUUAUCUAUGAAACCCACAUGGUAAACUCCAGUGACGUUCACUUUAUCUUCUUUAAAAAGAUGAUGGGACAAGCUCAUCCUGACAAGGUUCAGUUUAAAGCAACUAAGUGAAUUUACAGGAUCUUCAGCAGACAGGACAACUGAUGCAGUCAGAGCUAGUCCUAAACAAAAUCAGAUUAAGAAAAGGUUAACAAGGCUCCUUAUGCUUUUGCACCCUGAGAAGUAUCUGGAUCUGGCAUUAUUCUACAUUAGUAUUUCAUGCACAUUCCUUCCAAUUACUACAUCAAAGAGCAAGAUGACCUCUAUGCAAUAGCAGAAAGGAAAAGACUUCCUGAAUUCUGAGCCCAGAUACAAGGCGAUUUCAGAAGCCUUCCUGUCACUGCCUGUCUCCUGUCUUCUGAUGAGUUGGCUGGUUGGGGAUUUUUAUUUAAGAGCAAUAUUUACCUACUCCAUAGGAAUGCUAUGAAGAUUAAUUCAUUUGCAUGCCAUGUGAAAUAUUAAAUGUGUGGAGAAACAGGUUUCAAUUGUGGAAGUUAGGGUGCAGCUCUCAAGCUCUGAAGGAGAAACUAACUGGUGAUGUCUGUUUACUUUAUGGUCCUUGCUCUGUCACUUCUCAGAAAACACACCAAGGCAGAAGGAAGGGGUCUCAGGGACAGUGUCCUCUUUCUAAUCUACGGUGGGAAAUGCCCUGUGGCCCUCAGCCAGAGGGCAUUUCUGCAGACUGCUUCCAUGUCCUUAUGGCAGGUGAGGUGAUGAGACUUGCAUAUAGUUCUCAUUCCCAUUUGGGCUUCUCUGUCAAAAGUACUUUUAGCUGAGGUUGGAUCUUAAUGUAUAUGCACAGAUGUUAACAAGACAAAUUGGACUCUCAAGCAAAACAGAGAAUGACCAGCUUGUCUGUAUAGGUGUAGCUCAUAUAUCAUGUUCCACUUUCUUAUUGAAUUGUAAUUCAUGGGGCUAAUGGACUACUUAAAACAAAGAAACACUUAGAAAUCCCUGACUCAUCAAACAUAAGCAGUCUUAAGCCAGGUCUUAGUAUCAAAAGAAGCUGAUUAUUAAUAGCUAUAUUACAGUGAAUACCUCAAAACCAAAAUAUCACAAUUCUUUUUGUCUACAGUAGCAAUGUCCUGUUCUCCAUCCACAGCAUGGAACUUGAGGUGCAUUUGCAUAUCUUAAAAAUUAAAUUGACUUUUCUAGAAAUAAAACUAUACCAAAUACAACAUGAAGCAGAACUGAGCACUUAUUAAUCCUGUUUAUAGGAAUGUAUGUGGAAAUCAAUGGUUCUUUUAAUGAAAAAUAUAAAAUAAGGACAGAACUUAAUAGACCACUCAUUCCUGUAUCAGGUAAGACCAAGUUCAAAGUACCUCAUUACUUUGUCUCGAAUAUUAGCCUGGAGAAGAUGCCUCUACAAAAACAAUUAUAUUUCAUAGAAUAAUUAAAUGUUAAGAGGUUGGAAUGGACCUUAAAGAUCAUCCAUUCCCAGUGUCCCACUGCCAUGCACAGGGACACCUCCCACUAUCCCAGGUUACUCAAGGCUUUAUCCAGCCUGGCUUUGAACAUUGGCAGGGCUGGGGCACACACUGCCCUCCCUUGGGCAGCCUCUUCUAGUGUCUCACCACCCUCAGAGAAAAUAAUUUAUUCCUAAUAUCUAACCUAAAUUAGAGGACUGGGCAAUGAAUUUCAACAAAGAAAAGCGACAGAUUCUUUACCUGGGAUAAGGCAACCCUGGAUGUAGGUACAGUCUGGGGAAUGAGAUGCUGGACAGCAGUGCUCUGGAAAGGGUCCUGGUCGAUGGCCAGUUGAAUGUGGGUCAGCAGUGCCCUGGCAGCCAGGAGGAUCACCUGUGUCCUGGGGUGCAGCAGGCACAGCAUCGCCAGCUGGGCAAGGGAGGGGAUUGCCCAGCCCUACUCUGCUCUGGGGCAGCCUCACCUUGAAUAUUUUGUGCACUUUGGGACACCACAGUAUAAGAAAAAUAUAAAGCUAUGAGAGAAUGUCCAAACGAGGACCAAAUGGAAGGUGAUGGGCCUUGAGGGGAAGCCGUGUGAGAAGUGGCUGAGGUCACUUGGCCUGUUCAGCCUGGAGAAGAGGAGACUGAGGAGAGACCUCUUGAAUUUACAACUUCCUCCUGUGGGGAAGAGGAGGGGCAGGCACUGAUCUCUUCUCUGUGGUGCCCAGUGACAGGACCCAAGGGUCUGAAGUUGUGUCAGGGGACGUGUAGGCUUUAUUAGAAAAAGUUUCUCCACACAGAGGGUGGUUGGGAACUUAUCCAGGGAAAUGGUCACAGCCCCAAGCCUGAUGGAGUUCAAGAUAUAUUUGGGCAAUACUCUCAGGCACUUGGCAUGGCUCUUAGUUUCCUGUGCUGGGCUGAGACUUGGACUGAAUAAUCCUUUUGGGUAUCUUCCAACUCAGCUUAUUCUGUGAUUCUGUGAUUUGUACCCAUCAUUCCUUGUUCUAUCACUAAAGUUCCCGAUCAAGGGUCCCUCUCCAGCUUCCCUGUAAGCCACCUUCAGAUGCUGGAAGGUUGCUAUGAGGUCUCCACACAAAAUUCUCUUCUCCAAUCUUAACAGUCCUAGUUUUCUCAGACUGUCUUCUGAAGCAAAGGGCACCAGUCCUUUUAUCAGUCUUGUGGCCUUCCUCUGGACUUAUUCCAACAAUUUUGUGUUCGUAUGUUGGAGAUACCAGAACUGCAGUACCCCAGUUGGAGUCUCACAAGAGCAUAGCAGGAGAAUCACCUCUGAUCUACCAGCCAUGCUGCUUUGGAAAUUGCCCAAGAUUUGAUUGUUUUUUUGCGCUGCAGUACACAUUGCCGGCUUAUGUUGAUUUUUUUCAUCAACUAUCACCCCCAAGUAUUCCUCAGCAGGCUGUGGAAAAAGUUGUUAAUUUAUAUAUCCGAAGUCUACUCUACCAGGCCACACAUAUUGUCAGUUUAUAAGUAGCCAAACUCAGUAAUUGUUGUUAUUCAGUAGUUUUUUUUGAGUAGCUCAUUCUUCCAAUUCUUUGUCAAGCCUAUAUCAACUUUUAACACCACAAGUGUCCUGUAAUAACUUCAUUACGUGAAGAGGAUUUUUGUUGUUUCAAACUUGCCUUAUUCAAAUUUCAUCUGAUAGCUGGUUUUUCUUUCUAGAAAAGACAGUAUGCAAUCAUACCCUUUUUAACUCCCUCAUAAUCUUGAUGAUUUUAUAAACUAUUAAUUAAUUAAUAAUUUCUUAUUUUUUCUAGCCUGAAGAGCAAUAAGAUGCUUAAUUUACAGUCAUAUUGAAACAGUUUCAUACUUCUAAUAAUCCUUGUUGUCUUCUCUGUAUCUUUCUGAUUGGAGAGGGAGGAGAGAAAACUGAACAAAAAGUAUAUACAGUGUUCAGGACAAGCUCAUGGUGUGAAAUUACAGAGAGGUGUAACAAUAUUUUCUGUUUUGAGAUUACUAUUUCUUAGAACUAUUUAUUUACAGUUAUCUACUCUUUGUAACUUGAAAAUAGCAUUCCUGAGUGAAAGGUUUUGUAUGUUAAAUUAGAGUUUAUAUAUGUAGCUAGAGCUGAAGUUAUUUUUACAUUUUGUCUUUGUUUCUCUAAUAAUAAGGAAUAUGUUCUUCAGCUCUUCUCAGUUGUUCCUCAUCCUUCUUGCCCUGAAUAAAUUUGUAAUACUA